rnacentral:tRNA from 1 species
GCCUUAAUUAGCUCAUUUAGUAGAGCGUGAGACCAUAAAUCGAAAGGUCCCUGGUUCGAUCCCGGGUUCCGGCA